rnacentral:rRNA from 1 species
GCUUGUCUCAAAGAUUAAGCCAUGCAUGUCUAAGUAUAAACAACUUUAUACUGUGAAACUGCGAAUGGCUCAUUAAAUCAGUUAUAGUUUAUUUGAUAGUACUUACUACUUGGAUAACCGUGGUAAUUCUAGAGCUAAUACAUGCGAAAAGACCCGACUUCUGGAAGGGUUGUAUUUAUUAGAUGGAAACCAAUGCAGGGCAACCUGGAAUAUGGUGAUUCAUAAUAACUCGCGGAUCGGUUUACCGAUGCAUCAUUCAAGUUUCUGCCCUAUCAGCUUUGGAUGGUAGGGUAUUGGCCUACCAUGGCUUUAACGGGUAACGGAGAAUUAGGGUUCGAUUCCGGAGAGGGAGCCUGAGAAAUGGCUACCACAUCCAAGGAAGGCAGCAGG